rnacentral:snRNA from 1 species
GAUCUGGCUGUGAUAUCUGUCACCCCACUGAUCACCAGCUUUGAUUUGGCUGAUCUGGCUGGCUAGGCAGGUGUUUCAGUGUAUGCAUGUCCCUCCUGAAGCUGUGUGCUUGGUUGGAGAAAAACCUUCCCCAAAUACAGGAGAACCAGUCUUCAGGUAAGGUAUAUGAGUAGCUGCACUCCCCUGCCUAAACCUCCAAACAAGCUCUCAAGAAUGGUUAAUCUGAUCUUCCAAAGGACCCAAAUUCAGUUCCAGCACUCAGACCAGGUGACUGACUGCU